UUGACGGGACCCGCACAAGCGGUGGAUGAUGUGGAUUAAUUCGAUGCAACGCGAAAACCUUACCUACCCUUGACAUGUCCGGAAUCCCGAAGAGAUUUUGGGAGUGCUCGCAAGAGAGCCGGAACACAGGUGCUGCAUGGCUGUCGUCAGCUCGUGUCGUGAGAUGUUGGGUUAAGUCCCGCAACGAGCGCAACCCUUGUCAUUAGUUGCCAUCAUUUGGUUGGGCACUCUAAUGAGACUGCCGGUGACAAACCGGAGGAAGGUGGGGAUGACGUCAAGUCCUCAUGGCCCUUAUGGGUAGGGCUUCACACGUCAUACAAUGGUCGGUACAGAGGGUUGCCAACCCGCGAGGGGGAGCUAAUCCCACAAAGCCGAUCGUAGUCCGGAUCGCAGUCUGCAACUCGACUGCGUGAAGUCGGAAUCGCUAGUAAUCGUGGAUCAGCAUGUCACGGUGAAUACGUUCCCGGGUCUU
rnacentral:rRNA from 1 species